UCCUCCAAGCGAACAGUCGCGAAGUCCUCCCAGCAGCCUGCGCUCUCUGUCAGGCUGCUCAUCUCUUGCUAUCGCUGCAGACAAAUGGGCCAAACACCCUCCUUAAGCUUUCUCUUUCGGCUUCCAGCUUCAAAGACCGCUGAACUCUCAUCUGUUUUUUCCCACAGCAGUUAUUUCCCUCUUGGUUGGAUUCUCAUCUGCAGUCUCUUAAUUAACGAUUGGUUUCUGGUUUCGGUACUCAUUUAUCCCUUUCUCUUUCCCAUCUUGUUUGUCCUUCAACAUGCUCCAUGUCCCACCCUCUCUCUCUCUCUCUUUCCACUAUUUCCUUUUUCUCCUGAAUUUCUACUUCUUGUCCCUGCCGCACCUCUUGCAUCUCAGAUGGUCUUUCCCAGAUAUGACCAUGGCUUUCUCUCUGGAGAGCAGUCCGGUAGUUUUCAGAGACGCUUUCUGAAGGGUGACCAAGGCCAGGCUGGACCCGCUGGUCCUCCUGGUCCUCCAGGUCCCCCAGGUCCCAGAGGCCCCCCUGGGAACACAGGCAAGGACGGGCCACGUGGGCCUGCUGGCGAGUCGGGGUUUCCAGGUCGUGAUGGCGUUGAGGGGCUAAAAGGAUUGCCUGGAAAGCCGGGAGUAGAUGGGGAGUCCGGCUAUCCGGGACCACACGGUCCUCCAGGACCGAAGGGCGAGUCCGGUAUCGGAGGAAAAGGAGAGAGGGGCAUGGAUGGACUCCCAGGAUUGAAGGGAGACAAAGGGGAAAUAGGAGAGCAAGGACAACAGGGAGCCAUGGGUUUUCCUGGUGAAAAGGGCGCAACGGGCUCCUCAGACAUCAUUGACUUCAAUGGGAAGCUUCUAGAUGCUUUCCAGGCCAUCGACACCAUCAGUGUUUCGGGUCCAUCUGGACCACCUGGACCCCCCGGCCCUUCAGGGGAAAAGGGUGAGCUUGGUUUACCUGGCCCAGCAGCAACCGAUGGGGAGAAGGGGCCUAACGGGGACACGGGUGAGACGGGACCCCCUGGUGAGAGAGGAGGGAGGGGAGAGAUGGGGCUCUCUGGGCCUGCUGGUAUGGACGGAUACAAAGGAGAGAAAGGUGACUGCAGAAUGGAAGACAACCUGGUUCAGAUGAUUUCGCAGCCAGGCCCAGCUGGCCCACCAGGGGUUCCCGGGUCGCCUGGAUCUAUGGGGCUGCAUGGUAUGCCUGGUCCUAAGGGUGAGCCUGGAUUUGGGAUGAAGGGAGAUAAAGGGGACUCUGGUGCUCCUGGAGCCAGAGGAUUAGACGGUCUCCAGGGCACAAGUGGGCCUGCAGGGUUAGUGGGUCUUCCAGGUGCGAAGGGAGACAAAGGCAGACCAGGGGACCAUGGACUAGACGGUUUCCCAGGUCUGACCGGAGGGAAAGGUGAACGAGGGGAAAGGGGAGACAAGGGUGACCGGGGAUCAGUGGGAAAGAGGGGUCUAAAGGGCCAGAAGGGAGAGCAGGGUCCUCCAGGCCUGGACCAGCCCUGUCCUGUGGGUUGCAAUGAGAGUAACGGUGUGUCUCAGGAGGCAAGGCUUUCUUCUCCUCCAUCUCCUCUUCUUACUCCUUCCGGCACUGAGCCCCCCUGUCCUGUGGUAGAGUAUCUCUGUCUCCUUCCUCCUCAGUCCUCCUCCUCUUGCAUCACUAUUUAUGCAUCUACUGUUGCUAUUUUCUAUUCAAUGUCUCAAACUCUGUUUUACAUGUUCGGUUAGUCACCAACUGAUAGUACAUGAAUGUCUAGUUCAGAAUUCACUAUGAAGAGAGAAAUGCACAGAUAAUAAACAGUAAUAUCAAAAGGUUUCAAUACUAACUGGCAACAGGAAAAUACUGUCUAAUUCUGAUAUGUCUCUAUAUUACAUCUUGCUUUUCAUGUGUGAAAUAAAUGGAUGGAAGAUUCAAUUCAAUUCAGUUUAUUUUGUAUUGCUCAAUAUCACAAAUUACAAAUUUGCCUCAGAGGGCUUUACAAUCUGUACACAUACGACAUCCCUGUCCCAGGAGCUCACAUCGGAUCAGGAACAACUCCCAAGAUACCUGGUUACAAACAUAAAACAUUAUUCUAACGGCCAAAUAAAAGAGGUCUACAGUACACUCACAAAAAGAAACAUACAGAAAAGAAUGCAUUGAAAUCAACUAAUGGCCACCAUAAAUCAUGUUCUGUUUUUUUUGUAUUUGCUUAUAAGUUGUAUGAUGUACAAUUUAGAUGAGCGCAUUAAUACCACUCACAUACAGUAUCUGUUAGAUAUAAGGCUGCAGCUAGUUAGCUUAGCUUAGCAUAAAGAGUGGCAGCAGGGGGAAACUGUUUGCCUGGCUCUGCCCAAAGUAAAAAAAUGUGCCUAGCAGGACCUCUACUCUUUAGUUCAUACAUAAUAUCAAGUUAUUGCCCUCUUGGAAAAGGGGGAGUGAGUGGAGGGGUAUCAGUUGGUUGCAAUCUGCACCUACACAGCUAUAUGUCACAAAACCCUACACACUUUUCCUUUAAAAGCCAGGCUAGCUAUUCCGUCUAGGUAACCUACCAAUCUUUAUGCUACGCUAAAUUAACAGUUACCAAUAGUAGCCCUUUAUUCAAAAUGUAUACAUAUAAAGAUAUGAGUGGUUUCAAACUUAAUCUAAAUCUCAACUAUUUCACGCUCAGCCUCCACCUUUGCUUUGUUGUAGCCUACAACAUAAGUUUGCUGAUAGAGAGUGCACACCUUGGACAUGUGUCACAUGACUAAGGUGUGUUUAAGCAUUCAUCACAGGACAUGUUCCGGCUUGUAAACAUUCCACUGCUGUUCCUUCUCUACAGGGACAGGAUGGGCUGCCCAUACCAGGCUGCUGGCACAAGUGAUGACUAACCAGCAGCAUGGAAUCUGUACAUAUUGAUAUGGUAUAUAUUGCAGUUGAAUACUACACCAACAACCCUCUCCCUUUUAUUUCUUUUUUUCGUAAAACAUUUGAUAUAAUAUAUUGAGAUUUUUUUAACAAGGACAUUUUUGAGUCUACAGUGUUCCAAUAAUUUUUUUAAACUUUAGAGAGCCAGUGUUGUUGGGAAUGCAGCUAUGGUUUUGAGAAGAUGAAACUGAACUGGCAGUUGGACUCUUACUUUGAAGGACAGUCCAGAUGACAGUGUUGGGGUGCCUUGAUAGUCUAGCGGUCUCACUAACAAAGCCUGACUUGCUGCCUGAUGGUAAUCAUGAACGCUGUAUGGAUAUAAUGGUGUGUACACUCACUCACUCUCACGGAUGCUUGGAUGGAUGGACAGAUCUCUUUGGGAGUGGCAGAUGGAGGAAUGUGGGUCAGUACUCUCUUCUUCUCUCUCUGUUUUCUAAAAGGAGGAAAUGGCGAGACAGAAGCUCAAACGCAAGUGUCUCUCUCAGCCCUGAAUGGGUGUGUGGCCUGGUGGAGAAAGGACACAUAAACAGGCAGAGAGCACAAGGGGCAGAUUGGCCUUUGAUGAAGCCGAGUGAACCAUGCCUCAGUGACAUAAUGAACCCUCUGAUCCUCCGUCAUGGAAACUCUCCGAGAGGGGGGCGACAGAGAGCCCUGCAUUUCCACACUCACCUGAGAAGUAAAGACACACCUGCGGCUGAUGAUGUUGCACAAAAGCUUCACAACCAGUCAAAGUUAUUUGGGAGUCACUGACGUCACUGGCACAUAAGGAAGGAUAUACUACAGAUACUUUGAACACGUUGUGGGGAUCUCUUGUAUGGCUCUUUUGUAAAGGCGUUCACGAGUUAAAUGCAUGAUCAUAACAAACAGUGGUGUUUAGCGUGCUGACAGCUGUAUGACUACCUGACUGAAAGAUCAAAUUAAAUUAGAUUCCUUUGCAUUAACAUGAAGCCGUUUUAAUAGUCUUUCCAUUUGAACAAGCCACUCAGAAAAGUCAGUAAGUCUACCUUUUUAAGACUUGCACUUGUGUCAGUGGUGACAUGUUUUCUUGUGUUAUAUUAUUACAGUUUUUGUCCAGUUACAGUUUGCAUUCCUGUGCAUUGCCAUGUUUGUGGAAUAUAUAGAUAGUAAAACUUCAAGGCCAGAUUUGAAGCAACUAUUUACAGUAUUAGUAAUAAACCAGUGUUUUUCUUGCCUUGACAAAUUAUUGCCAGUCAAAUAUUAUUUUGCUAUAAUGUUGCUGCAUUUUAAAUGAUCAUUAUCCUUUAAUCACUGAUGAAGAUAUGUUUGAUUUACUGUUGCCAAUUUGCUCUGGACAGUGUACGUUCUUGCUGCUGACUUAAAUGUGUUUGUUUGAUAUUUUUGAAUCAAUAUAAUUAUUUGAAUUGAAGGACUAACAGACUAAAAUAUGAAAAUUGAAUCAAAUGUAUACAAAACCAUUGUUUUUGGGGAAUCUUUUUUUUCCAGCAGUACACCUCUGGACAAUGGUUUAUCAGUUAUUUUUGCAUUUGAGUGUGCUUUUUUUCAAUUAUCCCAAAAACGUUUUAAGUCUUUACUAUCAAAUGACUUUUACAGGUGUGUUUUGGUCUUUCGAAAACAUUUCUCAAAUGGAAUAAUUCCAUGGUGCUUAUAUACUUUAAUGCACACAUUUUAAAGCUAUACUCUGCAUAUCCAUAUGCAAAAAAAACAUGUCCACCAUAACACAUGUAUCAUUGUUUAAAGGAAUGUUGAACAUAAAUAAAACGUGGGUUUUACUGAUGUACUAAUAUCACAUAUUUGGCUACAUGUAUACAGGGCAGAGAUUCAUGGAAUCAUUAUGUGGUCCUCUUUACAUGGACAGAAAUACAUACACCUGAAUGUAAAUAGCAUUAAGCAAUACAUCGCUGGACAUGACUGACAAUCAAUCAUUUACAACAUAAUGUUUUAUUUGUUGAUCUAUAUUCAACAUGUACAUACAGGCUGCUAAACAUUGCUAAUUCCAAUUCUAGUAGGAGUUUCCACAAUAUCUUCAAAUUAAUCGGAGGAAUAAAAAUUGACAUUUAUAUGGAUAUUUGUUAUUUCAAUUAGGGACUCGUACCAGAAGGAUAGCAGUGUUGGUUCAUAGUUUUUACUGAAUCCAGAAAACACACAGGACAUUAGUAAUGCUGACUAAUGCUGUCAAUUUGUAAUCAAACAUAUCCACUGGCUCACAUUACGUCCCAAUGAUAGAGACCAGAAUUACUGACAUCACUUCAUUUAUUUCCAUAUCAUUGGGAUAAAUAUGAUGAACAGUCCCACUGAAUGUUUUCACUUUAGUAAAAGAGGUUCGUAGGGUACAUAACAUAUUACACCCCUGUACUGCACCGCUCAUUUAAACAGCAAAUUGUAUUCUAGAGACCUUUUCUUUUAAAAACCAAACAUGUAAAGGAGUUACAUUUCAUUGAGAUGAAAUAGAAUAGCUGGCAUACAAACUAUAUUUGAAAAUAAUAAAAAUGUUUGUUGACUGAGAAGUAACUGAAAGCAUAAUUUCACUGGAAGCUGAUGGUUAUCUGCCACUUAACGCUAUCAUAUGUGUUUAUUUCUUUUGCAGAUUCUAUCAAUUUUAGUUGUACGGCGUGAUGGAGUCAGUAAAUGGCAAUGUGAAUACAGUUGUGUGUUUUAGUCAUACUCAGUAUCACAGUACUAGAUUGAUUUUGUGAGAAUGACUUUUGGUUGUGUACUUGGUUGUAAAGGAAUGAAGCUAUUUUUGUAAUUACUUGUCUAAAAAUGUAAAACAUGAAAUGUGAUCAACUAAACAUGUAAACUGAAGUAAACUGUACAGUUGUAUGUUGUUUUUGUCCAUUAAAGCAUCAUAUAACAAUA